GAUGAACGCUGGCGGCGUGCCUAAUACAUGCAAGUCGAGCGAACAGACGAGGAGCUUGCUCCUCUGACGUUAGCGGCGGACGGGUGAGUAACACGUGGAUAACCUACCUAUAAGACUGGGAUAACUUCGGGAAACCGGAGCUAAUACCGGAUAAUAUAUUGAACCGCAUGGUUCAAUAGUGAAAGACGGUUUUGCUGUCACUUAUAGAUGGAUCCGCGCCGCAUUAGCUAGUUGGUAAGGUAACGGCUUACCAAGGCAACGAUGCGUAGCCGACCUGAGAGGGUGAUCGGCCACACUGGAACUGAGACACGGUCCAGACUCCUACGGGAGGCAGCAGUAGGGAAUCUUCCGCAAAGGGCGAAAGCUUGACGGAGCAACGCCGCGUGAGUGAUGAAGGUCUUCGGAUCGUAAAACUCUGUUAUUAGGGAAGAACAAAUGUGUAAGUAACUAUGCACGUCCUGACGGUACCUAAUCAGAAAGCCACGGCUAACUACGUG
rnacentral:rRNA from 1 species